GCGCGUGCCGGUCGCGCGGCUGCUGUUCCUCCUGCUGUGGGACCUCAGAGCGCGCGCAGCUGCUUCGCUCUCCCAGCUCCAAGUACGGGUCUGGGCACCCGCCACCAGCAUGGGUGCUCGCCGCGUGCCGCAGAAAGAUCUCAGAGUAAAGAACUUAAAGAAAUUCAGAUAUGUGAAGUUGAUUUCCAUUGAAACCUCAUCAUCCUCUGAUGACAGUUGUGACAGCUUUGCUUCUGAUAAUUUUGCAAACACGACGCUGCAGUCAGUUCGGGAAGGCUGUAGGACCCGCAGCCAGCGCAGGCACUCUGGACCUCUCAGGGUGGCGAUGAAGUUUCCAGCUCGAAGUACCAGAGGAGCAACCAACAAAAAAGCAGAGCUCCCACAGUUCUCCGAGAAUUCUGUGACUGAUUCCAACUCCGAUUCAGAAGAUGAAAGUGGGAUGAAUUUUUUUGGAGAAAAGGGCUUUAAAUAUAAAGCAAAACAAAGCAAUGCUUGCAAAACUCAUGUCUGAAUUAGAAAGCCUCCCUGGCUCGUUCCCUGGAAGACAUUCCCUCCCAGGCCCCAACUCACAAUCGAGGAGGCCUCGAAGGCAUACAUUCCCGGGUGUUGCGUCCAGGAGAAACCCUGAACGGAGAGCUCGUCCUCUUACCAGGUCAAGGUCCCAGAUCCUCGGGUCCGUUGACACCCUACCCAUGGAGGAGGAGGAAGAGGAUAAGUACAUGUUGGUGAGAAAGAGGAAGACCAUGGACAGCUACAUGAAUGAAGAUGACAUGCCCAGAAGUCGUCGCUCCAGGUCAUCCCUGACCCUUCCGCAUAUAAUUCGCCCAGUGGAAGAAAUUACAGAGGAAGAUUUGGAGCACAUCUGCAGCAACUCUCCAGAGAAGAUAUAUAUAUAUAAUGUUCACUGGGCUCUACUUGUCAUCAGUGCCGUCAGAAGACUAUUGAUACCAAAACAAACUGCAGAAACCCAGACUGCUGUGGCGUUUGAGGACAGCUCUGUGGCCCCUGCAUUCGAAACCGUUAUGGUGAAGAGGUCAAGGAUGCUCUGCUGGAUCCGAACUGGCAUUGCCCGCCUUGUCGAGGAAUCUGCAACUGCAGUUUCUGCCGGCAGCGAGAUGGACGGUGUUCAACUGGGGUCCUUGUGUAUUUAGCCAGAUAUCAUGGCUUUGGGAAUGUGCAUGCCUAAUUGAAAAGUCUGAAACAGGAAUUUGAAAUGCAAGCAUAA